rnacentral:rRNA from 1 species
CCUACGGGCGGCAGCAGUGAGGAAUAUUGGUCAAUGGACGAGAGGCUGAACCAGCCAAGUCGCGUGAGGGAUGACGGCCCUACGGGUUGUAAACCUCUUUUAUCGGGGAGCAAAGUGAGUCACGUGUGACUCAUUGUGAGUACCCGAAGAAAACGCAUCGGCUAACUCCGUGCCAGCAGCCGCGGUAAUACGGAGGAUGCGAGCGUUAUCCGGAUUUAUUGGGUUUAAAGGGUGCGUAGGUGGAUUGUCAAGUCAGUGGUGAAAGUUUGGGGCUUAACCGUGAAAUUGCAGUUGAAACUGGAAGUCUUGAGUACAGUAGAGGUGUGCGGAAUGCGUGGUGUAGCGGUGAAAUGCAUAGAUAUCACGCAGAACUCCGAUUGCGAAGGCAGUUCACUGGCGUGCAACUGACACUGAGGCACGAAAGUGUGGGUAUCAAACAGGAUUAGAUACCCUGGUAGUC